AGCUUGCUAAGGCCGAUGGCGACCGGCGCACGGGUGAGUAACACGUAUCCAACCUGCCGUCUACUCUUGGACAGCCUUCUGAAAGGAAGAUUAAUACAAGAUGGCAUCAUGAGUCCGCAUGUUCACAUGAUUAAAGGUAUUCCGGUAGACGAUGGGGAUGCGUUCCAUUAGAUAGUAGGCGGGGUAACGGCCCACCUAGUCUUCGAUGGAUAGGGGUUCUGAGAGGAAGGUCCCCCACAUUGGAACUGAGACACGGUCCAAACUCCUACGGGAGGCAGCAGUGAGGAAUAUUGGUCAAUGGGCGAGAGCCUGAACCAGCCAAGUAGCGUGAAGGAUGACUGCCCUAUGGGUUGUAAACUUCUUUUAUAAAGGAAUAAAGUCGGGUAUGCAUACCCGUUUGCAUGUACUUUAUGAAUAAGGAUCGGCUAACUCCGUGCCAGCAGCCGCGGUAAUACGGAGGAUCCGAGCGUUAUCCGGAUUUAUUGGGUUUAAAGGGAGCGUAGAUGGAUGUUUAAGUCAGUUGUGAAAGUUUGCGGCUCAACCGUAAAAUUGCAGUUGAUACUGGAUAUCUUGAGUGCAGUUGAGGCAGGCGGAAUUCGUGGUGUAGUGGUGAAAUGCUUAGAUAUCACGAAGAACUCCGAUUGCGAAGGCAGCCUG
rnacentral:rRNA from 1 species